GGGGUCGACAGGAAUUGACAGUUAAGUAGAUUCUUUGUAAGCACGCCGGGCAUUGUGCAAUUUGGCCCGUAAAACCUAAAGCAUAAAACAAUUUUAUUUGGCGACCAAGAGUUUGCCAUGGCAGCCUAGUUCAAGGAAUUAGCAUAGCCAUUGUCCACCCGUUUUUUUUCUAAUCGGAAAGGAGUUGGGCAUCGUGUAGAUUGGGAUAGUCUUGCAAUUUGUUUCGUUUGCAGGGCGAAAAUUAGAAACUAAGGAUAUGAAUUGGUUAGAAAGACCACCUCUUAUGUCUCGAAAAUCAAGGUUUUUCUAAGCGCGUAGAAAGCAAUUUUUCGCUUUGUCUGGACGAGGGUUCGAAUCCCUCCGACUCCACUU
rnacentral:tmRNA from 2 species